UACGAAGGGGGCUAGCGUUGCUCGGAAUCACUGGGCGUAAAGCGCACGUAGGCGGCUUUUUAAGUCAGGGGUGAAAUCCUGGAGCUCAACUCCAGAACUGCCUUUGAUACUGAGAAGCUUGAGUCCGGGAGAGGUGAGUGGAACUGCGAGUGUAGAGGUGAAAUUCGUAGAUAUUCGCAAGAACACCAGUGGCGAAGGCGGCUCACUGGCCCGGUACUGACGCUGAGGCACGAAAGCGUGGGGAUCAAACAGG
rnacentral:rRNA from 1 species